UAUUACCAGAAGCGACGGCAGGAUGAAGGUCAGACUAAAGAUCUUACCUGACGAGCCGAGAGGUGUGCAUGGCGACCGUCUAGCUCGUAGGUGCGAACUGUCCGGUUAAGUCCGGUAACGAGCGAGGACCCUUAUGACGUACGUUGCAACCGGUUUAGCGAUAAACCGGGCACUCUAUUUGGACCGCCUCUGGUUUAAAAGAGGAGGAAGGAGGGGCGACGAUACGUCAGUAUGCCCUGAAUCUCCUGGGCUACACGCGGCAUACAAAGGUCGAUACAAUGAGAUGCAAUGCCG
rnacentral:rRNA from 1 species